AGAGUUUGAUCAUGGCUCAGAUUGAACGCUGGCGGCAGGCCUAACACAUGCAAGUCGAACGGUAACAGGAAGCAGCUUGCUGCUUCGCUGACGAGUGGCGGACGGGUGAGUAAUGUCUGGGAAACUGCCUGAUGGAGGGGGAUAACUACUGGAAACGGUAGCUAAUACCGCAUAAUGUCGCAAGACCAAAGAGGGGGACCUUCGGGCCUCUUGCCAUCGGAUGUGCCCAGAUGGGAUUAGCUUGUUGGUGGGGUAACGGCUCACCAAGGCGACGAUCCCUAGCUGGUCUGAGAGGAUGACCAGCCACACUGGAACUGAGACACGGUCCAGACUCCUACGGGAGGCAGCAGUGGGGAAUAUUGCACAAUGGGCGCAAGCCUGAUGCAGCCAUGCCGCGUGUAUGAAGAAGGCCUUCGGGUUGUAAAGUACUUUCAGCGGGGAGGAAGGGAGUAAAGUUAAUACCUUUGCUCAUUGACGUUACCCGCAGAAGAAGCACCGGCUAACUCCGUGCCAGCAGCCGCGGUAAUACGGAGGGUGCAAGCGUUAAUCGGAAUUACUGGGCGUAAAGCGCACGCAGGCGGUUUGUUAAGUCAGAUGUGAAAUCCCCGGGCUCAACCUGGGAACUGCAUCUGAUACUGGCAAGCUUGAGUCUCGUAGAGGGGGGUAGAAUUCCAGGUGUAGCGGUGAAAUGCGUAGAGAUCUGGAGGAAUACCGGUGGCGAAGGCGGCCCCCUGGACGAAGACUGACGCUCAGGUGCGAAAGCGUGGGGAGCAAACAGGAUUAGAUACCCUGGUAGUCCACGCCGUAAACGAUGUCGACUUGGAGGUUGUGCCCUUGAGGCGUGGCUUCCGGAGCUAACGCGUUAAGUCGACCGCCUGGGGAGUACGGCCGCAAGGUUAAAACUCAAAUGAAUUGACGGGGGCCCGCACAAGCGGUGGAGCAUGUGGUUUAAUUCGAUGCAACGCGAAGAACCUUACCUGGUCUUGACAUCCACGGAAGUUUUCAGAGAUGAGAAUGUGCCUUCGGGAACCGUGAGACAGGUGCUGCAUGGCUGUCGUCAGCUCGUGUUGUGAAAUGUUGGGUUAAGUCCCGCAACGAGCGCAACCCUUAUCCUUUGUUGCCAGCGGUCCGGCCGGGAACUCAAAGGAGACUGCCAGUGAUAAACUGGAGGAAGGUGGGGAUGACGUCAAGUCAUCAUGGCCCUUACGACCAGGGCUACACACGUGCUACAAUGGCGCAUACAAAGAGAAGCGACCUCGCGAGAGCAAGCGGACCUCAUAAAGUGCGUCGUAGUCCGGAUUGGAGUCUGCAACUCGACUCCAUGAAGUCGGAAUCGCUAGUAAUCGUGGAUCAGAAUGCCACGGUGAAUACGUUCCCGGGCCUUGUACACACCGCCCGUCACACCAUGGGAGUGGGUUGCAAAAGAAGUAGGUAGCUUAACCUUCGGGAGGGCGCUUACCACUUUGUGAUUCAUGACUGGGGUGAAGUCGUAACAAGGUAACCGUAGGGGAACCUGCGGUUGGAUCACCU
rnacentral:rRNA from 10 species